CUACAGGCCUACCAGGUUUCUGAUGUCUCUUUACACACAGGGAAGGUGUCCCUAUGAGUUCCACACCUGUGGCUAUUGGGCCAGCAAUAGGGAGGCGGCUUUUUCCCAGCCGUUGGAAUGCCUCAUAAAAAUCUCCUUGUAUCAGAGAUACUGGUGCUUUAUUUCUACUAUCUUUUUCAAGGACUAUUGUAGCCUUUGUCCUAGCCCAGAGUUGUGGCUUGACAGGAACGGCAUGAUAAGAUGAAGGGCUGGCAGAUAAACACAACCAGCAUUGUUGACCUAAGCUUCAGCCGUGCGCGGGGAACCAGCUUCCGGGGUGGUUCAGCAAGGCUGACGAUCACCACCGUGCGUUGAGAGUCUGUUGCCGAAUUCUGGAAUCAGUUAACCACCGCCCCGCUUUUUGCUGAAGGAUGGUUCUGACUUGAUGUGGGGUGUUUAUAAUAAGGGCUCCCCCAAAGGUCAAUUUCCUACUUUCUGAGCUAACACCCCUUGUGCAAUUCAAUUUUUUGUGUUUACAAAGAGAUGGAAUGGCUUUUCCAAAUUUGGUAAACUUAAUACAGGAGCCUUGGUUAAAGCUUG